CCUACGGGAGGCAGCAGCUAAGAAUAUUCCGCAAUGGACGAAAGUCUGACGGAGCGACGCCGCGUGGAUGAAGAAGGCCGAAAGGUUGUAAAGUCCUUUUGCUGGGGGAGAAUAAUGUCAGGAGGGAAUGCCUGGCAGAUGACAUGAACCGGCGAAUAAGCCCCGGCUAACUACGUGCCAGCAGCCGCGGUAACACGUAGGGGGCGAGCGUUGUUCGGAAUUACUGGGCGUAAAGGGCAUGUAGGCGGCCUUGUAAGCCUGGCGUGAAAUUCCACGGCUUAACCGUGGGAAUGCGUUGGGAACUGCGAGGCUUGAGUGACGGAGAGGGAGCUAGAAUUCCUGGUGUAGGGGUGGAAUCUGUAGAGAUCAGGAAGAAUACCAAUGGCGAAGGCAAGCUCCUGGCCGAUGACUGACGCUGAGGUGCGAAAGUGUGGGGAUCAAACAGGAUUAGAUACCUGGUAGUCCACACUGUAAACGAUGUGCACUAGGUGCUGGGGCGGAUGCUUCAGUGCCCGUAGCUAACGUGAUAAGUGCACCGCCUUGGGGAGUUAUGCUCGCAAGGGUUGAAACUCAAAGGAAUAGACGG
rnacentral:rRNA from 1 species